GACGAACGCUGGCGGCGUGCUUAACACAUGCAAGUCGAACGGAAAGGCCCUGCUUUUGUGGGGUGCUCGAGUGGCGAACGGGGGAGUAACACGUGAGUAACCUGCCCUUGACUUUGGGAUAACUCCAGGAAACUGGGGCUAAUACCGGAUAGAAGCUCCUGCUGCACGGUGGGGGUUGGAAAGUUUCGGCGGUUGGGGCUAGUCUGGCGGCUUAUCCGCUUGUUGGUGGGGUAGUGGCUUACGAAGGUUGUGACGGGUAGCCGGCGUUGGAGGUUGACCGGCCUCAUUGGGACUGAGGGAGGGCCCAGACGCGAACGGGAGGCAGUAGUGGGGAAUAUUGCGGAGUGGGGGGAAGCCUGAUGCGGCAGCGCCGCGUGCGGAAUGACGGCCUUCGGGGGGUAAACCGAUUUCGCCGGAGACGAGGCGGGAGUGACGGUAAUGGGUAAAGAAGCCCCGGCUAACUACGUG
rnacentral:rRNA from 1 species